rnacentral:tRNA from 1 species
CUUUUUAUAGGUUAAAAAAACCGGGAGCCUGUGGAGCUUCAGAUCUAUCCUUAGUAAAAAGC